GUUUGCGUAGCUCAGCUGGAUAGAGCGUCCGCCUCCUAAGCGGAAGGUCGUGCGUUCGAAUCGCAUCGCGAACA
rnacentral:tRNA from 1 species